rnacentral:rRNA from 1 species
CGCGCUGCAUUAGCUAGUUGGUAAGGUAACGGCUUACCAAGGCAACGAUGCAUAGCCGACCUGAGAGGGUGAUCGGCCACACUGGAACUGAGACACGGUCCAGACUCCUACGGGAGGCAGCAGUAGGGAAUCUUCCGCAAUGGGCGAAAGCCUGACGGAGCAACGCCGCGUGAGUGAUGAAGGUCUUCGGAUCGUAAAACUCUGUUAUUAGGGAAGAACAUAUGUGUAAGUAACUGUGCACAUCUUGACGGUACCUAAUCAGAAAGCCACGGCUAACUACGUGCCAGCAGCCGCGGUAAUACGUAGGUGGCAAGCGUUAUCCGGAAUUAUUGGGCGUAAAGCGCGCGUAGGCGGUUUUUUAAGUCUGAUGUGAAAGCCCACGGCUCAACCGUGGAGGGUCAUUGGAAACUGGAAAACUUGAGUGCAGAAGAGGAAAGUGGAAUUCCAUGUGUAGCGGUGAAAUGCGCAGAGAUAUGGAGGAACACCAGUGGCGAAGGCGACUUUCUGGUCUGUAACUGACGCUGAUGUGCGAAAGCGUGGGGAUCAAACAGGAUUAGAUACCCUGGUAGUCCACGCCGUAAACGAUGAGUGCUAAGUGUUAGGGGGUUUCCGCCCCUUAGUGCUGCAGCUAACGCAUUAAGCACUCCGCCUGGGGAGUACGACCGCAAGGUUGAAACUCAAAGGAAUUGACGGGGACCCGCACAAGCGGUGGAGCAUGUGGUUUAAUUCGAAGCAACGCGAAGAACCUUACCAAAUCUUGACAUCCUUUGACAACUCUAGAGAUAGAGCUUUCCCCUUCGGGGGACAAAGUGACAGGUGGUGCAUGGUUGUCGUCAGCUCGUGUCGUGAGAUGUUGGGUUAAGUCCCGCAACGAGCGCAACCCUUAAGCUUAGUUGCCAUCAUUAAGUUGGGCACUCUAAGUUGACUGCCGGUGACAAACCGGAGGAAGGUGGGGAUGACGUCAAAUCAUCAUGCCCCUUAUGAUUUGGGCUACACACGUGCUACAAUGGACAAUACAAAGGGCAGCGAAACCGUGAGGUCAAGCAAAUCCCAUAAAGUUGUUCUCAGUUCGGAUUGUAGUCUGCAACUCGACUACAUGAAGCUGGAAUCGCUAGUAAUCGUAGAUCAGCAUGCUACGGUGAAUACGUUCCCGGGUCUUGUACACACCGCCCGUCACACCACGAGAGUUUGUAACACCCGAAGCCGGUGGAGUAACCUUUUAGGAGCUAGCCGUCGAAGGUGGGACAAAUGAUUGGGGUGAAGUCGUAACAAGGUAGCCGUAUCGGAAGGUGCGGCUGGAUCACCUCCUUUCUAAGGA